ensembl:lincRNA
AGAGGUCCCUCAGAAGAAGGGGACCUCAACCCAACCCUGAUAGGUUCUUUGUUUAUACCAGAGAAAAAAAUUUCAGGAUGUGUCAGAAAGAGUCAUAAACAGAAAUUAUUUAUUUGGGAAAGCAAGGAAUACACACUUCUGCCGAAGUCUGGCUGGCCACAAAUCACGAGCCACUCAAGCAGGAACAAACUUUAUUUCCAAACUCCACCAGCACACUCCCUGGGAACUCUCCCAAACGCCACCCACCCGGCUCCUCCAGGAACACACCCCACACCAACCGGAACUCCCACCACCGGAACUUCACCAACCAACGUGAACUCUUCAGGAGUCCCUGGGAGAGCUCAACCGGAACUCCGCGAGAACUCAAAAGUUAUCAUCUUAAUGGCUUGCUGGCGUCCCCCCUCAACCACUACUUCUGGCAAAAAUGCCAUGCGUCAUCCCAACUGGGCUGUGGCCCUCAACACACUUCCAGGAACAGAGAAUGUGGGCCAUCUCAGGAAUGGACAUGCUUUUGGGUCUUUUUUUAAAGGAGACUCUGUAAACAGUAAAUGUGAGAAGGUAGAUGCUGGACUUGAUGUGGUCAGAGACAAGAUCACUAGGCCUGUCUGUCAAAAGAGGUAGAUGUACCAAAUGUGAAGGGAGAAGUCUAUAUGCAGUUUGCUGGACUGGCUCUGCAGGAUUCCAGUAAGUCUGGUGUUCCUGAGAAAGAAACUCUGUGUUUCAAUGCAGUGUCCUGUUUUGACUAUGAACCUGGGACUGGCAGAGUAAUUACUGCAACCAGACCUCAUUCUGCCCCUGGAGAGAACCAGUGGUUUUUUCCUUAUCUGAACAUAAGCAGUUAAGCCAUGGGGUCCCUAGAUUUCACCCAAGGGCUGGAGCAGGUGUGCCUAUGCAGUGUGGAGAGAACAAAGUUAGUUUUGAAGAACUCUGUGAGUGCAGCUUGUUUAUUCACAGUCAAAACAGCAGUAACUGGGAUUACAGAAAAUAGUCCUUUAACACCAAAGUAAAUUAGUAGAAACAUGGUAAAUAUCAUGUUCAAAAAGCAAUUUGAAAUAUUACUUGAAAGAAUAUUCCUUUUUUUCUCAGAAAUGUAAAUCUCUAGUGUGUAUUAAACUUUAGCUUUUGUGCUAGAAAAUUCCAGAAUUGCUUAAUUCUGGAAACAAUAUUUCACAAUUGUGUGUACUUUAUUUAAUAAUUGUUGGCAAUCAUGCAGUAAAAAUAAAAAUAAUUAUAAUAUAAAAAUUAUCCAGUUAAGUUGGUAAUACUAGUAAAAUAAAAAAUUAAAACUGAUAAUAUCAAAAUCAUCUAGUAGAAAUUAUGUAUUUUAAUAUUUUAACUUGUUUGCUCUUCAUUACAAUAUUAUUAACAUUCAUUCUCAUUUUAGGAAGUGAUGUUUGGAGACACUGAGUGACUUGACUAAGUCAUAGACCUAGAAUGUGGAAAGUUUCACUCCAGGGACCACAGUGUACAAAAGAAAUUUGUGCACCUUAUGAAAUUUUUCUUGAUUUUGGAGAUAGGUAUGUAAAGUGAUCCUAGCAGCAUAUUAUGGCAGGAAUAUAGAAGGGUGGUGGGAUGGUCUUGCUUGCAAAGUUUCAGUAGGAUUCCUGAGC